rnacentral:rRNA from 1 species
GACGAACGCUGGAGGCGUGCUUAACACAUGCAAGUCGAACGAUGAAAUGGAGCUUGCUCCAUGGAUUAGUGGCGAACGGGUGAGUAACACGUGAAUAGACUGCCCUUAAUUUUGGAAUAACCCAGGGAAACCUGGGCUAAUACCGGAUAAGUAAACCUGUGGCAUCACAUGGUUUUGGAAAGUUUUUCGAUUAAGGAUGGAUUCGCGGCCUAUCAGCUUGGUGGUGAGGUAUGGCUCACCAAGGCGACGACGGGUAGCCGGCCUGAGAGGGUGAACGGCCACACUGGGACUGAGACACGGCCCAGACUCCUACGGGAGGCAGCAGUGGGGAAUAUUGCGCAAUGGACGAAAGUCUGACGCAGCGACGCCUCGUGAGGGACGAAGGUCUUCGGAUUGUAAACCUCUUUCAGCAGGGACGAAGCGAAAGUGACGGUACCUGCAGAAGAAGCACCGGCUAACUAUGUGCCAGCAGCCGCGGUAA